CCGGCUCUCUCGACCAAGAAGAUCGGCCCGCAUUAAAGCUCGACGAAACCGAGAAGCCAUAACGACAUCUUGAGUCCAUCCCGGAAGCUUGAAAGACACCUUGGAAGCUCGCGUGACGCUUUUACUAGUUUAUAGUUUCCAUGCUCUUUACUAUUUCUCCUAUUUUCAAUGCUCCGUUUUUAUUUCUCCUAGUUUUCAACGCUUUGUCUUUAUUUCUCCUAGUUUCAACAUUCUGUUUUUAUUUCUUUGAUGAUAUAAGCCAAUCCCUUGUAGAAGACAGACAGCUUUUGACGAAUGAAAGAAAACUUUGCUUGAAGCAAGUAUCGUGAACCUUGUAGAGUUCAACCCUUGAAAACCUAGAAGAGUUUUCACUCCAUCCUUGAAGAGUCGGAGCUUUUCGAAACCUGCAUCCUUGAAGAGUUGCAGUCAUCGAUCUAGAAGAAUCGGUGUCCCUUUCAACUUCCUUGGAGGCCUAGAAGAGCAACCAAAGAAGUUUCUAUCUUUUCCUAUUCUGUUCGUUAUUUCCAACCCAUUUUCGACCAUCCUACAGUGCUUAUUUCAGAAAACCCAAAACACAGAAAUUGUAGAUCCAGAAGUCUUUGUUCAUUUGGCUUUGGAAUCAGGUCGAUCCGAUCUGUAUCGACAAAGAUACGACUGUUCUCCUGAGCUUGCGCAGUGCUGAAAUUACUGUUCGUCCCGUUUCUUGUGCGCGAGUCACUCUCCCGAUCCUAUUGUUUGAGAAAGCCUCCCCUAGGCUUGCAUCAUUUGGUAUCAGAGCUUUGGAGGAGAGGACAAUGCCUCCAAGACAAGCUAGGCGUCGUGGCGGCAGAACCGUUCCCCUCAAUGAAUUGCACACACUCGCUGAGAAUAUGCAACAACAAAUUGAUGAAUUGACGCAAGAAGUUCAGCGUUUGAGGGCUGAAGCAAAUAAUUCUCCACCCCGUUCCAGGACAGAAAAUUCCCAUGGUGACUCUUCCUCUUCGGAGAGUGUUCAAUCUAUUCACGGUCGGAGGCAUGUUCGACAUCGUUUACAACAUAUUCGUGAGCCAGAUUGGGAAAAGGAAAUCAAGAAAGAUGUUCCAGAAUUUACAGGUAAUGAGUCUCCUGAUGAAAUUGUUGAUUGGCUAACACUUGUGAAUGAGGUGUUUGAGCAUCAAAAUGUUCCGGAGAAUCGUCGCGUUGGGAUCAUUGCUAUGCGAUUCCGAGGCAAGGCGAUUGCUUGGUGGAGACGUGAAAAACAAACUCGCCAAGCCGUUGGCAAAGCACAAGUCACUUCGUGGAGAAAGAUGGAGGGCAAGAUUCAAAAAUAUUUUCUUCCCAAAGGAUAUAAGAGAGAGCUCUACCAACGGUACCAAAAUCUAAAACAAGGUACGCGAACGGUGGACCAAUACACCAAUGAAUUCAAUGAGUUGGUGAUUCGUAACAAUAUCCAAGAUCCGGAGGAGGUGCUUGUGAACAAAUACUUGAACGGUCUUCAAUUUUACAUUCAAGACGCCUUGGAAGUCCUCGACAUUUGGGACUUAGGAGAUGCACACCAACGGGCACUCAAAAUGGAGCGCUCUCAUUCUCGGAGACAGCAAUCUGCUAGUAAGCCUUCUACUCAACCUCAUGAUUCGAAGCAACCUGCUACAUCCGAAAUACGUUGCUAUUCUUGUGGGGAGUUGGGUCAUCGUGCUAGCAAUUGUCGAAUCAAUAAGAAUCGACCAGCCGGUAAAGCCUUCUUGGUGGAUAAUAAUUCUGAUGAGAACGCUGAGGAUCCACUUGAAGAGGAGUUGAAAAAUGAUGAAGAAGCUGCGGAUGAUGAACAAAUAGUGCAUGCUGACACUGGCGAACUUCUAAUGGUGAGGAAAAAUUUUCCUACUCCUCGAGAUGACACUGGAGAUAGGUGGCUACGUACCAAUAUUUUCCAUUCUGCUUGCACAAUCAUGGGAAAGGUAUGUCAAUUAAUUAUUGACUCUGGUUGUUGUGAGAAUAUAAUUUCUGAAGUAGCGGCAAACAAGUUGAAGUUGGAAUUAAAAGCGCACCCUACGCCUUAUAAAAUGUUGUGGUUGAAGAAAGGCGCUGAGGUAACUGUUUCAAAAAGAUGUCUUGUUAAUCUAUCCAUUGGUUCUGUUUAUAGUGACAAAAUAUGGUGUGAUGUUCUGCCGAUGGAUGCUAGUCACAUUAUUCUUGGUCGACCAUGGCAAUUCGAUAAGAGGACUAUGCAUGAUGGUUAUCGAAAUACAUAUUCUUUUGAAGUUGGAGGCAAGAAGAUUACGUUGGCACCUAGUAGGGUGGGAGAUUCUUUUGAGGAUGAUGACAAGAAUUCAAGGACGAAUUCUUUUAAAGAUGGGGAGGAUGAUGCAGCCCACAUUGAAGACCGGCUCUCUCGACCAAGAAGAUCAGCCCGCAUUAAAGCUCGACGAAACCGAGAAGCCAUAACGACAUCUUGAGUCCAUCCCGGAAGCUUGAAAGACACCUUGGAAGCUCGCGUGACGCUUUUACUAGUUUAUAGUUUCCAUGCUCUUUACUAUUUCUCCUAUUUUCAAUGCUCCGUUUUUAUUUCUCCUAGUUUUCAACGCUUUGUCUUUAUUUCUCC
rnacentral:lncRNA from 1 species